CACUGCCUGUUUUCGUCUAAUGUCCCAGAAACUCUGGGCCCUUGGCUGUGGUUUACAGCAGAGAGACACAUGUUAAAUGCCAUGAGAAAUACACACAUUAUCAUGGGGAAGGGGAAAAGAGGAAGACAGAGCUGCCCAGCACGCUUUACACACCUCCAGAGCACCUGAGCGAGCAAGCUUUUCAGUCCUCAGAUUUGUUGUCUCAGUUACAGUAGAACUGCUGCUUGGAGACAGGAAUUCCCUCCUCCCUCUCUUCCUCCAGCAUGCAGCCCUUUCAGAGCAGUGCUGCACCAAGCUGCGGCCAGAGAGACUCAGCUGUGGAAGCAGUCAGCAGCUGUGCAGGUUCAUUUUACCUCUCAAAGCUACCAAAAGCACAGUCCUAACACAUCUGAUGUUUGAUUGGAAAUACUGCACACAGCAAGGGAGCAACAAGAGCACUAAAGCUUAUGUAACACCACAUUUUCUUGGGAAGAUCUAGGGGGAAAAAACACUAUUAAAGAUUCAAAAUCUUGAACCCAAACUUCUCCACUAGAAUCAAACUCCCUGGGGAUUCAAA